rnacentral:rRNA from 1 species
AUGGGCUAUAUAUCACAAGAAGCUGCCAUUCGAUUUCCCCAGUUUGCAUCCUGCUGCUGGCCUCUGAAAAAUACUCCCUGGUUAGACCAUGUGGAAACUGCCAGCCCUGAUCCCUCAACUAGCUGGCAGUCGAUUCUUACCAUAACCUGGAUCAACUUUGAGGAGAGCGUGCAAUUGUCAAUACAGAUUUUGUUUCUGUGCAGUCUCUGUUUCUUUUCUCUUUCUUUAGACGAGUACAACUCUGUGGUUUUCCGUUACUUUCACUUCGCAAACUGUCUGUACUCUGUACUCUGCCGGCCCUGUUUUUGUUUAUCUGUACUCUGUCUUUGUUGCUGCCAAAGUAUGUAUGCUUCUUUAUGA